GACGAACGCUGGCGGCGUGCCUAAUACAUGCAAGUCGAGCGGACUUUCAAGAAGCUUGCUUUUUGAAAGUUAGCGGCGGACGGGUGAGUAACACGUGGGCAACCUGCCUGCAAGACGGGGAUAACUCCGGGAAACCGGGGCUAAUACCGGAUAAUAUCUUCCUUCGCAUGAAGGAAGGUUGAAAGGCGGCGCAAGCUGCCGCUUGCAGAUGGGCCCGCGGCGCAUUAGCUAGUUGGUGAGGUAACGGCUCACCAAGGCGACGAUGCGUAGCCGACCUGAGAGGGUGAUCGGCCACACUGGGACUGAGACACGGCCCAGACUCCUACGGGAGGCAGCAGUAGGGAAUCUUCCGCAAUGGACGAAAGUCUGACGGGGCAACGCCGCGUGAGCGAAGAAGGUCUUCGGAUCGUAAAGCUCUGUUGUCAGGGAAGAACAAGUACCGUUCGAACAGGGCGGUACCUUGACGGUACCUGACCAGAAAGCCACGGCUAACUACGUG
rnacentral:rRNA from 1 species